UACGGGGGGGGUAAGCGUUGUUCGGAAUUACUGGGCGUAAAGGGCUCGUAGGCGGCCAACUAAGUCGGACGUGAAAUCCCUCAGCUUAACUGGGGAACUGCGUCCGAUACUGGAUGGCUUGGAUUUGGGAGAGGGAUGCGGAAUUCCAGGUGUAGCGGUGAAAUGCGUAGAUAUCUGGAGGAACACCGGUGGCGAAGGCGGCAUCCUGGACCAACAUUUGACGCUGAGGAGCGAAAGCUAGGGGAGCAAACGGG
rnacentral:rRNA from 1 species